CAGCGCCACGAGUGGCAAUCGUGUAUUUGGCCUAAAGCGUCCGUAGCCGGAUUUGUAAAUCUUUUGUGAAAUCGUUGAGCUCAACUUAACGGCGUGCAGAAGACACUGCGAGUCUUGAGACCGGGAGGAGAUAGAGGUAUUCUAGGGGGAGCGGUAAAAUGCUAUAAUCCCUGGAGGACCACCAGUGGCGAAGGCGUCUAUCCAGAACGGAUCCGACUGUGAGGGACGAAAGCUAGGGGAGCGAACCGGAUUAGAGACCCGAGUAGUCC
rnacentral:rRNA from 1 species